GAGUUUGAUCAUGGCUCAGGACGAACGCUGGCGGCGUGCUUAACACAUGCAAGUCGAGCGAAGGAAUACUUAGGAAGCCUUCGGGAAGAAUACGUAUUCCUUAGCGGCGGACGGGUGAGUAACGCGUGAGGAAUCUGCCUCGCACAAGGGGAUAGCCUCGGGAAACCGGGAUUAAUACCCUAUGAUACUUACACUGCGCAUGCAGAGUAAGUUAAAGAAUAUCGGUGUGAGAUGACCUCGCGUCCCAUUAGCUAGUUGGCAGGGUAAAAGCCUACCAAGGCGACGAUGGGUAGCCGGCCUGAGAGGGUGAACGGCCACAUUGGAACUGAGACACGGUCCAGACUCCUACGGGAGGCAGCAGUGGGGAAUAUUGCACAAUGGAGGGAACUCUGAUGCAGCAACGCCGCGUGAGCGAAGAAGGUUUUAGGAUCGUAAAGCUCUGUCCUAGGGGAAGAUAAUGACGGUACCCGAGGAGGAAGCCCCGGCUAACUACGUGCCAGCAGCCGCGGUAAUAC
rnacentral:rRNA from 1 species